ACCAAACACCUGUGUCUGUGUGUUCCAAAAUAUGAUAUCAAAUUCUUACAUCCUACCUAAACUAACAACUUGCAGGACCCGUUCACAUAGAUUGACUUUUAAAGCUCAAACUUUAUUACAGCUUCAUUAGACCCAAAUUCUGUUAACAGAUCAAGAACAUUUUUUGAUCUGGCUAGCGCACUGGUUCGCAAGCUUGCUUCACUUGCAACUGAGGAAAUUAUUCAGGCUUGGAAUCUUCACGAUGAUCUUAUCACUCUGCGCGAAAGGCUGGAAUCCAUUGAUGCUCUCUUGUCGGAUGCUGCUGCCAAAAUACUAACUAUGUCUUCUGUGAAAAACUGGUUCAGCAAACUUGAAGCUGUGGCUCAUGUAGCUGAGGCUUUUAUGGAUCAACUUGCAUAUGAAGCUACUCGAAGAAAAGUGGAGGAUCGUCAUAAGGUAAGGGACUUGUUUAUUCCUUCUAAAAACACCUUAUUAUAUCAUUUCAAGGUGGCUCACAAUAUUAAGUCUAUUCAUGCUUCUUUUGACAAAAUUUGCAAAUAUGCGGGAGAUAUUGGACUUAAGCCAGUAGAGCAUUUAAGUUAUAGUGUGCAUCACAGAGAGAUCCGCCAUACCCCACCCUUUGAAGACGAGUCACAAAUUGUCGGAAGAGAUAAAGAUUUAUCAUAUAUAGUCCAAAUUGUAUGCAAGAAACAUGAUCAGGAUUUACAAGUUGUUGCUGUAGCGGGGAUGGGAGGUCAAGCUUGCUCGUAUGGUUUACAAUACGAGUAAUGUGAUUAAAAUGUUUUCAAAGAGAAUGUGGGUUACUGUAUCUUAUGAUUUUGAUUUCAUGAAUAUACUGAAUCAAAUGGUGGUAUCACUUACUUCAGCCACUUCUGAGUUGGAAAAUACGGAAGGACUAAUAAAAAAAUUGCAGAUGUAUUUGAAGGGCGAAAAGUUUUUACUAGUACUAGAUGAUGUCUGGAAUGAGAAACCAGAAGUGUGGGAUAACUUGAGGAAUUCUUUGCUUGCAGUUGGUGGGGCUAGAGGAAGCAAUAUCUUAGUUACUACUCGCAAACAAGAAGUCAUUGACGCCAUGCAAUGUCUUGUUUCUUAUCAGCUGGAAAAACUUUCAGACGAAUGUAGUUGGGCCUUGUUCAAGCAAAGAGCAUUUUCCCAAGGAGGAGUUUUGGAAACAGAGACAUUUGCGGGCUUGGGGAGAAGAAUGGUGGAGAGGUGUGGUGGCCUGCCUCUGGCAAUAAAAACACUAGGGGGUUUGUUGCACUCAAAGAAGUCUGAACAGGAGUGGUUGCUGAUAGAGAAUAGUGAAAUAUGGAAAUCUAAAGGUGUAUUAUCUUCCUUGAGGUUAUCUUACGACAAUUUACCCUAUUCCUCUCUAAAAAAAUGCUUUGCAUUUUGCUCUACUAUGCCAAAGGAUUCAAAAAUUUAUAAAGAUCAACUAGUACAAACAUGGAUGGCAUUAGGACUCCUAUUGCCUCCCAAAGAUAGCAAUGUGCUCAUGGAAGAUGUUGGUAAUGAGUACUUCAACAUUCUGUUGUGGAAUUCUUUGUUGCAAGAUGUUCAAAGGGAUAAAUAUGGAAACAUCACCACUUGCAAGAUGCAUGAUCUAGUACAUGAUCUUGCGACAGAUCUAUCCAAACAUCACUCUACAACUCUGAUGGGAGGACAUGAGCUAGACCAUACUUUAAAGCCAAUUUACGUUAGGCUUGAUAAAGGGGUCUCGAAUAUAAGACCAGCCAUUCUUAAGAGUAAUUUUUUGAGAGCACAAGUACUAUAUUCAGGGGUUCGUGUAGUUAGUGACAUAUUACCUUGUCUCAAACACUUGACUGUUUUGAUUUUGAAUGCUAAUAAUGUAACUAGCGAGUUGCCAAGUUCAUUGCGGAAGGUGAAGUAUCUUAAACAUCUUGAUAUCUCUUGUUUCCAUUACAGAUUGCCUAGCUACAUCACAGAACUAUACAACCUGCAGACUUUGAGAGUUUGGAAUCUGGAAGAGCUUCCCAAAAACUUUUGCAACUUGAUUAAUUUGAGACAUCUUGUCAUCGAGAAUAAAUAUAUGAAAAAGAGUCAUAGAACAAGAUGCAUGUUUGUCGGGAUACAGAGGCUAACUUGUCUACAAACGCUGCCUCAUUUUGUUGCUAGUCGAGAUCAAAAUUGCCUCGUUGGACAAUUGGGAGGGUUAAACAACCUUAGAGGUAAGCUUGACCUCUAUGGCCUUAGUGACGUUGAAAAUAUGGAAGAAGCAAGCAAUGCAAAGCUUGAUACAAAGUUUAAUAUUGAGCAUUUGCUCUUAAAUUGGAGUAACAAUGAUGAUGAAAGGGAAGACAGGGGAUACAAAGAUGAAGAUGUGAUGGAAGGAUUAAAACCCCACAGAAAUCUGAAAGAAUUGACGAUUGACUACUUUAAGGGGCAAAAAUAUGCAUCAUGGAUUACAGUGAUGAUAAACUUGGUGAAAAUCACAUUCAAAAAUUGCACAAGAUGUGAAACCCUAUUGCCACUAGGUCACCUUCCUAAACUGAGAGAGAUGAAGAUAAUUGGGUUAUCUAAUAUCAAGGUUAUCGGGACUGAUUUCUAUGAAGUUCUAGGUGGAAUUAGUAGCGAUUCCAGUGUACCAGGGACAACUCAAGAAGUUACAACAAUGUAUCCAUCAAUGAAAAAACUCCUUCUGUUGAAUUUGCCAAAGCUAAAAGAAUGGCUUGAACCAUUUACGAGUACAGGGCGUGAAAGCCUGCUAGUAUUUCCUAUACUUGAGGAGUUAUGCAUCCGGAAUUGUCCAACAUUGACAAGGAUCCCAAGGAUUUGUUUUCCAUCUUUAAAGAAGUUGGAAAUCACAAAUCUGUUCAACAGUAUGAUACUAGAAACAAUGAGCGGAAAUGUUAACUCUCUCACGUGUCUACUACUCUGGAAUAUCCGUGCCAGAGGAGGCUCUUCUUCAUCGUCAAAUAGGCUUUCUGCACUGGACGAGCUCUUGAGAAACAAUUCUAUGUCUUUGACAACUUUGCACCUAAAUGACUACCAAGGAUUGACAUGCCUGACCCUUGGUGACGCUCUUGAGGAAUUAGAAGUGGUUAACUGCCCUGAUCUAACAAGGAUUGAUGUAGUUGAAGGGUCAUGUAAGGUAAACGAUCUUACGAUUGGGAGCUGUCCCUCGCUGUCAGACUGGGCAUUUGUCCGAAGUAUGAGGUCCACACUUGUAAGACUGACACUAGGUCCCUUCUCCGAGGAAUUAGAUGAAUUUCCAUGGUCCUUUUCUUCUUCCGUGAUAUCCUUUAUUAGCCUAACCUCACUUACUCUGUAUGGCUGGAGAAAUGUAAAGUCUAUACUUCCUGCAGAGAAACUUGAUGAAAGUCUUUCCUCCACCUUCCCUGCCUUGACUGAACUGCAUAUAAUUAAUUUUGAUGGAGUGGAAGAUCUCCCAGACUUACUAGCAACGCUUCCAUGUCUAGUAACUCUUUAUAUUCGGAACUGUAAGAAUUUGAGGAGCUUACCCACGUUUAACGAAUCACACAGCCUUCAUUACCUGGAUAUACAUCGCUGUCCUAUUCUUCAAGAAAAAUGUAGGAAGGGGAGAGGGCCAGAAUGGUUCAAGAUUCAACAUAUUCCGUAUGUAUUUGGUAUAUUUGAUCAACCAUGCAUAACUAAGAACAAACAAGUGAAUGUUCUUUAAAUUCCUGGAAAAAUAUUGCCAAGUGCAUCUAAUUCAUCCCUAUUAUUUCUACUACAUAUGUUCUUGAUAUAUCUUGAUUUUUUUGCUUAAAUGUGAGAUUGAGUAAGGUGGAUCUUAACAUUUCACAACUUCUUUUGAGCUUACUAAUCAAAGAUAUUGCAGGGAAAUGGCACAGAAUGAUUCAACAGUCAGCAUAUUCGAUAAAUAGUACUUAGUGGCAGUGACUAGUGACAUUUGCUACACAGGGCAAUCAAGCUCAUGUCUCGGAUCACGCUCUCAUGCUUUCUGGCUAAUUGGAUCGUGAAAUCGAGUUCACCCACCUCAGUGAAGAAGCCAGAGGUGGUGUAAUGCAGGUUUCUAUAUGAUAUAGAGAUCUGAAUUCAAUUUUCAAGAAGUUCAUCAAUGUCUACAAAAGUCUCUUGGUGUUUAUUAUAAUCCAUUUACAAAUCUAUUGGUCUCUCUUAUGCCAAUGUGGUUUAGAAAAAACCCAAAAUAUGGAAUUUUUCCUAAAAAAUAAGAGACUAACUUUUGUUGGGUAUUGCUAAAUGCAGUAAAAUUUUACUUUGUGCA